UGCAGAGGCUUAAUAACAUCUCAAGGUCCAAGGUCAUGCAGCGAAUGAGCCAGGAUUCCAGCCCCAGUAUUCUGACCCCACAGGCAGAGCUGUGAACUGCUCGGCUGUGAUCUGUUCUGCCCCAUCUUGUCAAGGUAAAUAAUUUGGCUCCUGACCUUGAAGAGAUCAGAUUAGUGGAGGAAAAAGUGCUGUGAAGACAUCGGUUACAGUGCCAUGCUGAACGUGUGGCAGUCAAGGGUGCCUCUCUAGUCUGGUCAAGGCAGCUCUGGCAGCAACGAUGAGAGCGAAAGACGAGGCAGGACGCUGGCCAUGCCAUGGACUCCGAGGCCGCCCUGUGGAGAGGCUGGGGUUGGGGGAGGGGAUCAGCCUUGCUGGGCUGCAGAGCCUGGCAGCCCCCAACCGUCAUGGAUGUCCCUCAUCCCCGGUCAUUUCUCUCCCACUCGCUGAUUGCACCCAUACUGGCACCCAUAUUGCUUCAGAGAAUGUUCAUUUGUGCCCUUGUCUAAACAUACUUAGAAUCCCCAGCCACCAUUCAAUGAUGAUACUUAGCAGACAGUACAAUGACUGCCUUUGGGUUCUGCCAGGCACACAGGCUACACUCAAUAAAUGUGUGUAAAAAGGCAAAGAGAUGGAAGGAAAGUAAUGGGACCAUGUUAAUUCCUCCCCGCCUCCCUGGGGGCCAGUCCUUCUCUCAUCAGUCGUGUCCCUCUGCCCACCCCACACACUGGACCCUCCCAGGCUGUAACUGGGUUCAGUCUCAUCUGGGCUGCUCUCUGGAGCCAAGCUGCCCUGGACACGUUCCUCCCCCUACGAUCUUCAGUCUCCUGCUCGGUAUUGUAGUACUCGGACCUACUCAUGGAGCUGUUGUAAGGAGCAAAUGAGAUCAGGGCCUGCCAGUGUUUGUCCCCACCUUCCUUCCCAAGCCUUAAACUCAGAGUGCCCGCCUGGAGCCACCCGCAGAAUUGCUCCUGAGGUCUGGGCUUUGGGUGACGGGGCUUUCCACCCGAGGUACCUAAACUCUGGCCACUUUACUCAGACAAACAAGGGAGACACAGAAGCCAGAGUAAGGUCCAGAUCUGCAUAGAGACAGAUUAUUCACCAUAGAGAAUUGUUGUAAAUCGUGGGAAAAUGAGGAUUAAAAGGGUAAGAAAGAAUAAGUUGGCCAUUAGCAGAAGAACAGACUUUCUCCUUGCAAACCUACCCA